ACUCCUACGGGAGGCAGCAGUGGGGAAUAUUGCACAAUGGGCGCAAGCCUGAUGCAGCCAUGCCGCGUGUGUGAAGAAGGCCUUCGGGUUGUAAAGCACUUUCAGUCGUGAGGAAGGUAGUGUAGUUAAUAGCUGCAUUAUUUGACGUUAGCGACAGAAGAAGCACCGGCUAACUCCGUGCCAGCAGCCGCGGUAAUACGGAGGGUGCGAGCGUUAAUCGGAAUUACUGGGCGUAAAGCGCAUGCAGGUGGUUUGUUAAGUCGGAUGUGAAAGCCCGGGGCUCAACCUCGGAAUAGCAUUUGAAACUGGCAGACUAGAGUACUGUAGAGGGGGUUAGAAUUUCAGGUGUAGCGGUGAAAUGCGUAGAGAUCUGAAGGAAUACCGGUGGCGAAGGCGGCCCCUGGACAGAUACUGACACUCAGAUGCGAAAGCGUGGGAGCAAACAGGAUUAGAUACCCCUGGUAGACUGUCA
rnacentral:rRNA from 1 species